CAGAAAGAACUUGUCUGUGCGCAAGCACNAAUGUACAACUUUCAACAACGGAUCUCUUGGCUCUCGCAUCGAUGAAGAACGCAGCGAAAUGCGAUAAGUAAUGUGAAUUGCAGAAUUCAGUGAAUCAUCGAAUCUUUGAACGCACCUUGCACCCAUUGGUAUUCCAAAGGGUAUGCUCGUUUGAGUGUCAUUGUACUCUCACACUCCAAUCUUGGAGAAGUGGACUUGGGUGUUGCUGCUUUGCUGUGGCUCAUCUUAAAUAUGCUAGUGCAACUCAUGGUUGGAUAUAGUACAGCGUGAUAAGUAUCUUCGCUGGCGCCUCCUAAAGAGGGUGUCUGAUUGGGAGCUCUGUGCUUCAAACUGUCCUGUCUAGGACAAUCUCUGACAACUUGGCCUCAAA
rnacentral:rRNA from 1 species